rnacentral:lncRNA from 1 species
GGGAGCCGCUGCAGCGGGGAGGGAGCGGAAGGGGGCGCGGGUGGGCCCUGGCGGCUCUCCCGUAGGCCUCGGUAGGUCGGCGGUGAGGGAGGGCGGCUCUUUCCGGCCUCUUCCCCCCUUGCAUCCCUUCUUCUUCUUCUGGCAGGGCCUGGCCGGGGUGGUUGUGUGCCGGCCUGUGGCUGUGCUCCGUCUCUCCGGGCGGAGGGAUGGGGUGUACAGGGCUCCGCCGUCCCCCGCUGGUGAGGUGCUGCUCCUCUUGAGCCCUGUUGUGCUGUGCUUGGAAGGAGCCGUUGCAGUGUCUUACUGGAUGUGCUACUCUACCAAUAUAUGUGAAGAAUUAAAAGCCUCAACCAAACAGCCCUGCAGCUUGGAUUGAACUGAAAGUAAAUACUCUGAACCUGGCUAUUAACUCAUUUUCUUCUGUUGUAAGGUCAGUGAAACACUGCUUAGUUUUUUUGUUUGUUUUGUUGGGGUUUUUUUUGUAUUAGAGAUAGAAGUAUAAAGUCAAGUGUGCAGAUGAGGGAGAGGAAAGCUCACAGUAAAAGUUAAAAUUUAGAAUUUAAAGGAUAAACUGCUUUAUGUAUUUGUUAUCUUCAGGGCCAGCUCUUUAGCAGGUAAAGGACAAUAGAAUUGCUUUUGCAUACUGUAGGAAUCGAGUUAGUAACUACUUACUGCUUAGGAUGUUCA